GAGAUUCAAAAUGCAGCCCAGAAACAAGUGAACACGACUGGAUUAUUCCCUUAACAGCCUCCAAUAUAUUCUCUGUUAUCGUAAUCACACUUCUGCUUGGAGUUUUAUAUAAAAAUCACAGAAAAGAUGCUUCAUCAAGCAACCAUCAAAUUCCCACCAAUCAGGUAAUCCAGUCUUCUAUUAACUGGGAUUCUGUUCUGUUAAAUAAAUCCACAUCUGAAUGCACAGAGAAUUUUAAUAGACAUCUAUUCACCUAAAUAUCAGUGUAGUCAUUAUUUUAGUCUUUUAAUCCGCUCUGAUUAAUAAACAGCUCUUGU